UUCCUAAAUCGGGAUUGGCCCCUAAGAGCUUUGCACACAUGGAUUGUGCAAUAUUUGCCCAUUUAUUAUUUUCAAAAUUCUUCAAGCUCUGACAGUUUGGUUGGUGAUCAUUGCUAGACUGCCAUUUUCAAGUCUCACCAUAGAUUUUCAAGCAGAGUUAAGUCAAAACUCUAACUAGGCCACUCAGGAGCAUUCACUGUCUUCUUGGUAAGCAACAGCAGAUUCUGUCUUGUGUUUAGGUCAUUGUUUUGCUGAAAGGUGAAUCUCUGGAGUCUCUGGAGAAAAGCAGACUGAACCUGUUUUUUCCUCUUGGAUUUUGCCUGUGCUUAGCUCCAUUCUGUUUCUUUUAUCCUGAAAAUCUCCCCAGUCCCUGUGGUAUGGCCAUUCCUCUAGACAAUGCCAUGAAUUGUGAUUGAUCACAAGCUGUGCUCUGGCACCAGCAAGCCACUGACGUUGUCUUCAUCACAGUCUUUAUCACAGGUCAUUCUCUCACCCUCUCUCCCCCUACAGUAAGUAGUAGGCUGAACAACGUUAGCUUAACUUUUACAAAUGUGUCCAUAUAUUGGUCUUUAGUGCCACCUAUUGGUUAAAAUUGCGGAUGGCUACAUCAAAUCGUUUCUCAAUUUCAGUUAAUAGCGUAUGCCAGGCUCACACAAACACAGCUCACUAAACAGAUUAAGCUACCGACAAACCAGCGUGGGCGUGCGUGUGAGUUUCUGUGUACAUACAGUGUAUAAUCUGGUGCCGCCCUUCUUGGUGCCAGCCAGAGAGUCUCUCUAAGUCUUAUGAAAACCUGUUACUAACCAGACCGAACAUGUUCUACUUCUGGCAUUUCCUCUGCCCUUUCUUCCUCCUGUCAGCCAUGGCCACUGCGGCACCUCUUGGGCAGGAUGUGGACCCAGCUGACCCAGAGGUACAGGCCUGUGUUGCCUUCGGCAUCAAGAGCUUCAACUUCCACAGCCAGACUCAUCAGCUCCACAACAUUACCAAGUUCCACUCUGUCCACAGAGAGGAGGUCGGUGCAGGUCAGUACGAUAUUGAUGUGGAGGUGAGAGGUUGCCAGUCCUCCUUCUGUUCUCCAGACAAUUCCAACACCCAGAUUUUCCGUUGUUAUUUUGUCAUUGUGACUGCUCCUUGGAAGAAGCAGCUGAUUCUGAUCAAAAGCAGCUGUACUCCAGUGUCUUAGGAUGGACAGGAACUACUGUCUAUGUGCAACUACACACAUAUGUGUAAAAACUCACUUAGCAUGUGUCAAUUGAAUCGUCAAACUAUGUAUGCAUUGUGUGAGGUUGUUGCUUAUAUCAGACAUGCACUAUUUGAACGAGAAAGCUAACAGACACUAACAAACACCUUUUUAAUCAGAAUUUAACCUAACACUAAUUAUUUUCAUGUUAGAAAGAAUGUAGUUAUUUGUAAGAAUAAAAUCAAUGUGAUUACUGGAGUACUGAUUAGAUUGUUGUGUGGUUUUCUUAUAGAUGGUCUAAUCUACUGUUUAAUAUGUUGAUCGACUCUGGUGCCAGUGAAAUUGAAUUAGGGGCUCGAUUCGAUGUGUGGUAAACGCUGCAUAUGUCUGUUCAAUUGGGAAUUACCUUUAAAAGGUGACUGCAUGUCCUGAUUUUGCCUCCUUUUAGAUUUGUGUCAUUAAUUAAAGGAUGCUAGCGGCCAUGACUGAACUCAAACGUAAAUUGGUUUUAGGGUGUGUGUGGGUUUGCAGGUGUUAAAGUUGGUUGAACUUUGUAAAGCCUAUCCCUGGGGCUAAUUAAGGACCAUCAAUAAAUUAUACAAUGUAAAUGAGACACUAUUUUCACGUUGCACACCUUUUUAGUUCUCAUUAAAUGCUUUCACCUAAUCAUUCAAGGGGUUUUCUUUAAUUCUACAUUGUAGAAUAAUCGUGAAGACAAACUAUUAAAUAAUACAUGGAAUCAUGUAGUAACCAAAAAAGUGUUAAACAAAUCAAAAUAUAUUUUAGAUUCUUCAAAGUAGCCACCCUUUGCCUUGAUGACAGCUUUGCACAAGCUUUGCAUUCUCUCAACCAAUGCAUUUCAAUUAACAGGUAUGCCUUGUUAAAAGUUCAUUUGUGGAAUUUCUUUCCUUCUUAAUGUGUUUGAGCCAAUCAGUUGUGUUGUGACAAGGUAGGGGUGGUAUAGAGAAGAUAGCCCUAUUUGGUAAAAGUCCAUAUUAUGGCAAGAACAGCUCAAAUACAGAGUAUUUCUUUCAACCAGCUUCAGGAGGAAUAGUUUUCCAACAGUCUUGAAGGAGUUCCCACAUAUGCUGAGCACUUGUUUUCCUUCACUCUGCGGUCAAACUCAUUUCACACCAUCUCAAUUGGGUUGACGUCGGGUGAUUGUGGAGGCCAGGUCAUUUGAUGUAGCGCUCCAUCACUCUCCUUGGUCAAAUAAACCUUACACAGCCUGGAGGUGUGUUUUGGGUCAUUGUUCUGUUGAAAAACAAAUGAUAGUCCUACUAAGUGCAAACCUGAUGGGAUGGUGUAUCGCUGCAGAAUGCUGUGGUAGCCAUGCUGGUUAAGUGUGCCUUGAAUUAUAAAUAAAUCACUGACAGUGUCACCAGCAAAGAACACCCAAACCAUCACACCCCCUACUCCACGGCUUCACGGUGGGAACCACACAUGCAGAGAUCAUCCGUUCACCUCUCAUAAAAACACGGCGGUUGGAACCAAAAAUCUCAAAUUUGGACUCAUCAGACCAAAGGACAGAUUUCCACCGGUUUAAUGUCCAUUGCUUGUGUUUCUUGACCCAAGCAAGUCUCUUCUUAUUAUUGGUGUCCUUUAGUAGUGGUUUCUUUGCAGCAAUUUGACCAUGAAGGCCUGGUUCAUGCAGUCUCCUCUGAACAGUUGAUGUUGAGAUGUGUCUUACUUGAACUCUGUAAAGAAUUGAUUUGGGCUGCAAUCUGAGGUGCAUUUAACUCUAGUGAAUUUAUCCUCUGCAGCUGCAGCAGAGGUAACUCUGGUUCUUCCUUUCCUGUGGUUGUCCUCAUGAGAGCCAGUUUCAUCAUGCAACUGCACUUGAAGACACUUUCAAAGUUCUUGAAAUUUUCCAGAUUGACUGACCUUCAUGUCUUAAAGUAAUGAUGGACUGUCGUUUCUCUUUGUGUAUUUGAGCUGUUCUUGCAAUAAUAUGGACUUGGUCUUUUACCAAAUAGGGCAAUCUUCUGUAUACCACCCCUGCCUUGUCACAACACAACUGAUUUGCUCAAACACAUUAAGAAGGAAAGAAAUUCCACAAAUUGACUUUUAACAAGGCACACCUGUUAAUUGAAAUGCAUUCCAGGUGACUACCUCAUGAGGCUGGUUGAGAGAAUACCAAGAGUGUGCAAAAGCUGUCAUCAAGGCAAAGGGUGGCUACUUUGAAGAAUCUCAAUUAUAAAAUAUAUUUUGAUUUGUUUAACAUGCUACUACAUGAUUCCAUGUGAGUUAUUUCAUCGUUUUUAUGUCUCCAUUAUUAUUCUACAUUGUAGAAAAUAGUAAAAUAAAGAAAAACCCUUGAAUGAGUAGGAGUGUCCAAACUUUUGACUGGUACUGCAUAUGUAUAUGAAUUUAUGUAAUACAAUUCAUAGUUGGUUUGAGUUGUUAAUGGAACUAUUGCAAUUUUAGCAUAUUGUCCCAUGUACAUUGUGUAAUUUACCGAUGGUCCCUAGCUCGCCUCAUCAGGAUAUCCAAAGUCAACCCAAAUUUACCACAUGCAUUUAGAUCGGUCUGGUGCAGCUGCACUUCGAAUUUAUGACUACUUGUGUGUUGCCAGCUGUGGG
rnacentral:lncRNA from 13 species